rnacentral:rRNA from 1 species
UACGUAGGGUGCGAGCGUUGUCCGGAAUUAUUGGGCGUAAAGGGCUCGUAGGCGGUUUGUCGCGUCGGGAGUGAAAUCCACUGGCUUAACUGGUGGCUUGCUUUCGAUACGGGCAGACUGGAGGUAUGCAGGGGAGAACGGAAUUCCUGGUGUAGCGGUGAAAUGCGCAGAUAUCAGGAGGAACACCGGUGGCGAAGGCGGUUCUCUGGGCAUGUCCUGACGCUGAGGAGCGAAAGUGUGGGGAGCGAAGCAGG